rnacentral:rRNA from 1 species
AUUGAACGCUGGCGGAAUGCUUUACACAUGCAAGUCGAACGGCAGCACGGGGCAACCUGGUGGCGAGUGGCGAACGGGUGAGUAAUAUAUCGGAACGUGCCCAAUCGUGGGGGAUAACGUAGCGAAAGUUACGCUAAUACCGCAUACGAUCUACGGAUGAAAGCGGGGGAUCGCAAGACCUCGCGCGAAUGGAGCGGCCGAUAUCAGAUUAGGUAGUUGGUGGGGUAAAGGCUCACCAAGCCAACGAUCUGUAGCUGGUCUGAGAGGACGACCAGCCACACUGGAACUGAGACACGGUCCAGACUCCUACGGGAGGCAGCAGUGGGGAAUUCUGGACAAUGGGCGGCAAGCCUGAUCCAGCCA